CCUACGGGCGGCAGCAGUGGGGAAUAUUGGACAAUGGGGGCAACCCUGAUCCAGCCAUGCCGCGUGUGUGAAGAAGGCCCUCGGGUUGUAAAGCACUUUCAGUGAGGAAGAACGCCUGGUGGUUAAUACCCAUCAGGAAAGACAUCACUCACAGAAGAAGCACCGGCUAACUCCGUGCCAGCAGCCGCGGUAAUACGGAGGGUGCGAGCGUUAAUCGGAAUUACUGGGCGUAAAGCGCGCGUAGGUGGCUUGAUAAGCCGGUUGUGAAAGCCCCGGGCUCAACCUGGGAACGGCAUCCGGAACUGUCAAGCUAGAGUGCAGGAGAGGAAGGUAGAAUUACCGGUGUAGCGGUGAAAUGCGUAGAGAUCGGGAGGAAUACCAGUGGCGAAGGCGGCCUUCUGGACUGACACUGACACUGAGGUGCGAAAGCGUGGGUAGCAAACAGGAUUAGAUACCCUGGUAGUC
rnacentral:rRNA from 1 species